CUUAACACAUGCAAGUCGAACGGUAACGCGAGCUAGGUUUACUAGCUUGGCGACGAGUGGCGGACGGGUGAGUAACGCGUAGGAAUCUACCUCGGAGCGGGGGAUAACUUUGGGGAAACUCAAGCUAAUACCGCAUACGCCCUAUGGGGGAAAGUUGGGGAUCUUCGGACCUGACACUCUGAGAGGAGCCUGCGUUAGAUUAGCUUGUUGGUGGGGUAAUGGCCUACCAAGGCGACGAUCUAUAGCUGGUCUGAGAGGAUGAUCAGCCACACUGGGACUGAGACACGGCCCAGACUCCUACGGGAGGCAGCAGUGGGGAAUAUUGGACAAUGGGGGAAACCCUGAUCCAGCGAUGCCGCGUGUGUGAAGAAGGCCUGCGGGUUGUAAAGCACUUUCAGUGAGGAGGAAAAGCUAUAUGCUAAUAUCAUGUAGCCCUGACGUUACUCACAGAAGAAGCACCGGCUAACUCUGUG
rnacentral:rRNA from 1 species